rnacentral:tRNA from 1 species
UUGGGUGGCGCUAUUGGAAAGCCUUGAAUGCGCGUCGACUUAUCUAGCGGACCACGCGGAUUUUGAUUCCGCCAUUCGGAGGUUCGAUCCCUCCCGCCCCAGCCA